GACGAACGCUGGCGGCGUGCCUAAUACAUGCAAGUAGAACGCUGACGAGAGGAUCUUGCUCUUCUUGGAUGAGUUGCGAACGGGUGAUUAACGCGUAGGUAACCUGCCUUGUAGCGUGGGAUAACUAUUGGAAACUAUAUCUAAUACCGCAUAACAAUGUGUGACACAUGUCCUUUAUUUGAAAGGGGCAAUUGCUCCACUACAGGAUGGACCUGCGUUUUAUUAGCUAGUAGGUUAGGUAAUGGCUCACCUAGGCGACGAUACAUAGCCGACCUGAGAGGGAGAACGGGCCACCUGGGACCGAGACCCGGGCCAGAACUCCAACGGAGGGCGCAGGAGGGAAUCUUUGGACAUGGGGGGCAACCUGAACGCGCACAGCCGCGUGAGUGAAGAAGGGCUUCGGAUCGUAAAGCUGUGUUGUAAGUGAAGAAAGGGCGUGAGACUGGAAAGCUCACACGGUGACGGUAGCUUAACAGAAAGGGACGGCUAACUACGUG
rnacentral:rRNA from 1 species